UACGGGAGGCAGCAGUGGGGAAUAUUGCACAAUGGGCGCAAGCCUGAUGCAGCCAUGCCGCGUGUAUGAAGAAGGCCUUCGGGUUGUAAAGUACUUUCAGUCGUGAGGAAGGUGUUAAGGUUAAUAACCUUAGCAAUUGACGUUAGCGACAGAAGAAGCACCGGCUAACUCCGUGCCAGCAGCCGCGGUAAUACGGAGGGUGCGAGCGUUAAUCGGAAUUACUGGGCGUAAAGGGCACGCAGGCGGUUAAUUAAGUUGGAUGCGAAAUCCCCGGGCUUAACCUGGGAAUGGCAUUCAAGACUGGUUAGCUAGAGUCUUGUAGAGGGGGUAGAAUUCCAUGUGUAGCGGUGAAAAUGCGUAGAGAUGUGGAGGAAUACCGGUGGCGAAAGGCGGCCCCUGGGACAAAGACUGACGCUCAUGUGCGAAAAGCGUGGGGAGCAAACAGGAUUAGAUACC
rnacentral:rRNA from 1 species